rnacentral:rRNA from 1 species
GUCGAGCGAGAACCCAGCAAUGGGGGACAGCGGCGAAAGGGACAGUAAUGUGUAGAUUAUCUGCCCUCAGGCCCGGGAUAGCUGCGGGAAACUGCAGGUAAUACCGGAUAAUAUCUCCGGAUCAAAGGUGUGAUUCCGCCUGGGGAUGAGUCUACAUCCUAUUAGCUAGUUGGUAGGGUAACGGCCUACCAAGGCUUUGAUGGGUAGCGGGUGUGAGAGCACGACCCGCGUCAUUGGGACUGAGACACUGCCCAGACACCUACGGGUGGCUGCAGUCGAGAAUCUUCGGCAAUGGGCGCAAGCCUGACCGAGCGACGCCGCGUGCGGGAUGAAGGCCUUCGGGUUGUAAACCGCUGUCAGAGGGGAUGAAAUGCGUGGGGGUUCUCCCCCACGUUUGACAUAGCCUCAGAGGAAGGACGGGCUAAGUUCGUGCCAGCAGCCGCGGUAAGACGAACCGUCCAAACGUUAUUCGGAAUUACUGGGCUUAAAGGGUGCGUAGGCGGCGCGGAAAGUUGGGUGUGAAAUACCUCGGCUCAACCGAGGAACUGCGCCCAAAACUUCCGUGCUCGAGGGAGAUAGAGGUGAGCGGAACUUAGGGUGGAGCGGUGAAAUGC